AACGAACGCUGGCGGCAUGCCUAACACAUGCAAGUCGAACGAGACCUUCGGGUCUAGUGGCGCACGGGUGCGUAACGCGUGGGAACCUGCCCUUAGGUUCGGAAUAACUCCCCGAAAGGGGUGCUAAUACCGGAUAAUGUCUUCGGACCAAAGAUUUAUCGCCUUUGGAUGGGCCCGCGUUGGUUUAGCGAGUUGGUAGGGUAAAAGCCUACAAAGGCGACGAUCCAUAGCUGGUCGGAGAGGAUGAUCAGCCACACUGGGACUGAGACACGGCCCAGACUCCGAGGGGAGGCAGCAGUGGGGAAUAUUGGAGAACGGGCGAAAGCCUGAUCGAGCAAUAGCGCGUGGGUGAAGAAGGACUUCGGGCGGGAAAGACCUGUGGGGGGGAAAGAAAAGCAGCAGGUGAAGACCCCGCUGUGAGGACGGGACGCAAAGAAUAAGCACCGGCUAACUUCGUG
rnacentral:rRNA from 1 species